rnacentral:rRNA from 1 species
UACGGGGGGGGCAAGCGUUGUUCGGAAUUACUGGGCGUAAAGGGCGCGUAGGCGGCCUGCUAAGUCGGACGUGAAAUCCCUCGGCUCAACCGGGGAACUGCGUCCGAUACUGGCGAGGCUUGAAUCCGGGAGAGGGAUGUGGAAUUCCAGGUGUAGCGGUGAAAUGCGUAGAUAUCUGGAGGAACACCGGUGGCGAAGGCGGCAUCCUGGACCGGCAUUGACGCUGAGGCGCGAAAGCCAGGGGAGCAAACGGG